CAGUAGCCACGGUAAUACGUAGGUCCCGAGCGUUGUCCGGAUUUAUUGGGCGUAAAGCGAGCGCAGGCGGUUAGAUAAGUCUGAAGUUAAAGGCUGUGGCUUAACCAUAGUAUGCUUUGGAAACUGUUUAACUUGAGUGCAGAAGGGGAGAGUGGAAUUCCAUGUGUAGCGGUGAAAUGCGUAGAUAUAUGGAGGAACACCGGUGGCGAAAGCGGCUCUCUGGUCUGUAACUGACGCUGAGGCUCGAAAGCGUGGGGAGCAAACAGGAUUAGAUACCCCGGUAGUCCCUGUCUCUUAUACA
rnacentral:rRNA from 1 species